ensembl:lncRNA
GCCCCUUCACCUCGAGCCACGCCCCCUCCUUGCAAGCCACGCCCCCUUCUAUUCCCUUCCCCAUGGGCUGUGACCCCUGGUGACCCCUCCAGGGCGCGACCCCCGGUGACCCCACGUUGACCUUUGCCCUCUGACCCCGCAGGGUGGGCCAAUGGGGGCCGUGGGCCGCGUGGAGCCGCUGCUCGGUGACGUGCGGGGAGGGGACGGAGCUGAGGGGGCGGAGCCGAAGGGCCGAAGGGGGCGGAGCCUCGAGGGAGUGGGAGCUGAGGGCGUGUCACAUGGCCUGCUGCCCCGUUCCGGGCUCGUGGUCGCCGUGGGGUCCGUGGGGCGGCUGCUCGGUGACGUGUGGGGCCGGGAGGGAAAGCAGACGGAGGGG